GAAAAAUACAUUGGCAAGGAAUUUGUCACGCAGCUCUUACAGCAGUUUGUUAGUGAAGAUCCCAGAGAGAGGGAGUGGCUCCAAGUGACAGUCAAGAGCAUCUACAGUAUCUUCCCUGGACUGCAAGGAUUCAUUCUCUGUGGGUUCUGUGAUAUUUGCUACAGGUUUGUGGACGAGAAGUGGCAGCCCACUGGUAUCGCCAAACUCCUGGAAGUCAUGGAAG